GAAAGAUUCAUCGGAAGAGGAUGGGCAUGCGGCGCAUUAGCUUGACGGCGGGGUAACGGCCCACCGUGGCGACGAACCGUAGGGGUUCUGAGAGGAAGGUCCCCCACACUGGUACUGAGACACGGACCAGACUCCUACGGGAGGCAGCAGUGAGGAAUAUUGGUCAAUGGGAGAGAUCCUGAACCAGCCAAGCCGCGUGAGGGAAGACGGCCCUAUGGGUUGUAAACCUCUUUUGUCGGAGAACAAAACCCGGGACGUGUCCCGGACUGCGUGUAUCCGAAGAAAAAGCAUCGGCUAACUCCGUGCCAGCAGCCGCGGUAAUACGGAGGAUGCGAGCGUUAUCCGGAUUUAUUGGGUUUAAAGGGUGCGUAGGCGGUCCGUUAAGUCAGCGGUAAAAUUGCGGGGCUCAACCCCGUCGAGCCGUUGAAACUGGCAGACUUGAGUUGGCGAGAAGUACGCGGAAUGCGCGGUGUAGCGGUGAAAUGCAUAGAUAUCGCGCAGAACUCCGAUUGCGAAGGCAGCGUACCGGCGCCAGACUGACGCUGAGGCACGAAAGCGUGGGGAUCGAACAGGAUUAGAUACCCUGGUAGUCCACGCAGUAAACGAUGAAUGCUGGUUGUCCGGGUCGAAUGAGACCUGG
rnacentral:rRNA from 1 species